rnacentral:lncRNA from 10 species
UCUCUUUAUUACCACAAUUGUGCAAUUUGAUUAUAAUAUACCCUGGUAUAGUUUUCUUCAUGUUCCUUAUGCCUAGGGUUCAUUGAAUUUUCUGAAUUUGUGGGUUUAUGGUUUUAUUACAUUUGAAAAGUUUUUUGCCUUUAUUUCCUCAGUCAUUUUUUCUAUAGCCUCCCUGAUUUGUGAACUCCAAUUGCCCGUACAUGAGGCUGCUUGAAGUUGUACUACUCACUAAUUUUUUUUCUUUUUAAAAUAUGUUCUUUUUUCUCCAUGUAUUUUAUUUUGGAUAGUUUCUAUUGCUAUUCCUUCAAAUUCACUAAACUUCUUCAAUGUCCAAUCUGUCAUUAAUC